GACGAACGCUGGCGGCGUGCUUAACACAUGCAAGUCGAACGGAAAGGCCCCUUUGGGGCUACUCUAGUGGCAAACGGGUGAGUAACACUUGAGUAACCUGCCCUUACCUUUGGGAUAACUUCAGGUAACUGGGGCUAAUACCGGAUCGGAAUCAUUUCUGCAUGGGGGUGGUUGGAAAGCUUCGGCGGGUUUUGAUGUAUUGGCGGGUUAUCAGCUUGCUGGUGGGGUAGUGUAUUACCAAGGCGUUGUCGGGUAGCCAGCCUGAGGGGGCGACCGGCGACCUUGGGACUGAGGUGCGGCACAGAUUGGUACGGGUGGCAGAAGUGGGGAAUAUUGAACGAUGGGCGGAGGCCUGAUGCAGCAGCGCCGCGUGCCGGAUGACGGCGUUCGGGGUGUAAACCGCUUUCAGCAGGGGCGAAGCAUGUGGUGACGGUACCUGAAGAGGAAGCACCGGCUAACUACGUG
rnacentral:rRNA from 1 species